UACGUAGGUGGCGAGCGUUGUCCGGAUUUACUGGGCGUAAAGGGAGCGUAGGCGGACUUUUAAGUGAGAUGUGAAAUACUCGGGCUCAACUUGAGUGCUGCAUUUCAAACUGGAUGUCUAGAGUGCAGGAGAGGAGAAUGGAAUUCCUAGUGUAGCGGUGAAAUGCGUAGAGAUUAGGAAGAACACCAGUGGCGAAGGCGAUUCUCUGGACUGUAACUGACGCUGAGGCUCGAAAGCGUGGGGAGCAAACAGG
rnacentral:rRNA from 1 species